rnacentral:lncRNA from 1 species
GCCGGGCGCGGUGGCGCGUGCCUGUAGUCCCAGCUACUCGGGAGGCUGAGGCUGGAGGAUCGCUUGAGUCCAGGAGUUCUGGGCUGUAGUGCGCUAUGCCGAUCGGGUGUCCGCACUAAGUUCGGCAUCAAUAUGGUGACCUCCCGGGAGCGGGGGACCACCAGGUUGCCUAAGGAGGGGUGAACCGGCCCAGGUCGGAAACGGAGCAGGUCAAAACUCCCGUGCUGAUCAGUAGUGGGAUCGCGCCUGUGAAUAGCCACUGCACUCCAGCCUGGGCAACAUAGCGAGACCCCGUCU